rnacentral:rRNA from 1 species
AUUGAGCGCUGGCGGCAUGCCCUACACAUGCAAGUCGAACGGCAGCAUGAUCUAGCUUGCUAGAUUGAUGGCGAGUGGCGAACGGGUGAGUAAUACAUCGGAACGUGCCCUGUAGUGGGGGAUAACUAGUCGAAAGAUUAGCUAAUACCGCAUACGACCUGAGGGUGAAAGUGGGGGACCGCAAGGCCUCAUGCUAUAGGAGCGGCCGAUGUCUGAUUAGCUAGUUGGUGAGGUAAAGGCUCACCAAGGCGACGAUCAGUAGCUGGUCUGAGAGGACGAUCAGCCACACUGGGACUGAGACACGGCCCAGACUCCUACGGGAGGCAGCAGUGGGGAAUUUUGGACAAAGGGCGAAAGCCUGAUCCAGCAAUGCCGCGUGUGUGAAGAAGGCCUUCGGGUUGUAAAGCACUUUUGUCCGGAAAGAAAUGGCUCUGGUUAAUACCUGGGGUCGAUGACGGUACCGGAAGAAUAAGGACCGGCUAACUACGUG